CGCAGGCGGUUUCUUAAGUCUGAUGUGAAAGACACCGGCUCAACCGGGGAGGGUCAUUGGAAACUGGGAAACUUGAGUGCAGAAGAGGAGAGUGGAAUUCCACGUGUAGCGGUGAAAUGCGUAGAGAUGUGGAGGAACACCAGUGGCGAAGGCGACUCUCUGGUCUGUAACUGACGCUGAGGAGCGAAAGCGUGGGGAGCGAACAGGAUUAGAUACCCUGGUAGUCCACGCCGUAAACGAUGAGUGCUAAGUGUUAGGGGGUUUCCGCCCCUUAGUGCUGCAGCUAACGCAUUAAGCACUCCGCCUGGGGAGUACGGUCGCAAGACUGAAACUCAAAGGAAUUGACGGGGGCCCGCACAAGCGGUGGAGCAUGUGGUUUAAUUCGAAGCAACGCGAAGAACCUUACCAGGUCUUGACAUCCUCUGACAACCCUAGAGAUAGGGCUUUCCCUUCGGGGACAGAGUGACAGGUGGUGCAUGGUUGUCGUCAGCUCGUGUCGUGAGAUGUUGGGUUAAGUCCCGCAACGAGCGCAACCCUUGAUCUUAGUUGCCAGCAUUCAGUUGGGCACUCUAAGGUGACUGCC
rnacentral:rRNA from 1 species